rnacentral:ncRNA from 1 species
UCUUAUCAAGAGCAGGUGGAGGGACUAGCCCGAUGAAACCCGGCAACCGGCGAUACGUCGCACGGUGCUAAUUCUUGCAGAACAUGAAGUGCAUACUUCGUGCUCUGAGAGAUGAGA